rnacentral:misc_RNA from 1 species
CAGAGUUCUCGCCCUUACGGGUAGAUCUCCCACCCACUGUUAUCGUUACUGUCGUUUCUUUGGCGGGCCGCCGGGUCCCUGGCCGCCGGCGCUCCAGCUGGCGCGCGCCCGCCAGAGGCCUUCAAACUCUGAAUGUUAGUGUCGUCUGAGUACUAUAAUAAUAGUUA